GUUGUGCGGGACAAAAGGGUGACCGUGUAACGUACAGGAAUGCGCAAUGUUUGGCGUUUGCGUGCGGGACCAAGUAACGCGAACGUUACAUGUCGCCUCGUGCCCUUCUUUAGGUACAAUGACACCCUCAAGCCAGACGGAAGGUGGAGCUCUAACCUCUUCAGGGGAGAACCUGUCCGCCUGAGUGGUCAACAUGUCGGUCACACUGUAAAGACAAGCAGCGAUGAUGAGCAGACUGGACGUUCACGCCUCGUUCAGCCACAGAGAACCGGGACUGUUACUCACAAAUCUUUCCUUAACGUUCCUUUGGCCUCAGGAUCGAAGACCUUGAACGCAUUGAGGAUGGUCUCCUCCGGGUCGGCACCUGAAGAUGAACAGAUGAAAAGUUCAAACAAAGGUGUUUGUUUACGGCGGAGGAAUAUGUCAUUGUCCCCCGCGGUGCUAAAAAUAUGACCCGUGAGGAUAUUAUUUUCUACCUGAGACUGAUUUUCAUAUCGGCUGGAAGCUCCUGCACACUCAGGCUGGUGCACGGUGACCGGGGAGUGGAACGUGGACUAAAACCUUUGGUUUUGAUGGAUGCCUUCACUCAUUGAUAAAGGUAUAAUUAAUGGAGGAAAUCACACAGUGCUCAUCUGCACAUAACCUUGCUUCUAACACCGUGGUGUCAGCAGGGGGAGCACCUGGCACCAGUGUUGGAGCACUACAGCAGUCGGACCAGAGGAUUGACUUCUUUUAUUCAGACAAAGAGCCCCAUCGUGCUUUAUUAAGUUAGACAAAGUAAAACACCUGACAGUUUAUAUAUGCUUCCAGUGUUGCUGUCAUUCCAAUUAUUAAGGCCAUUGUGAAUUUCAU